rnacentral:sRNA from 1 species
UUUUGAAGAAAACCCAGAAGCGAACGGAAUGAAAACAAUAAUGUAGUUUAGUUAUUUCAGAGUAAAAUUGUUUCAAAUAAUAAAAAAAAAAAUGUCGGCACAGGAGCAGAUGAGAGCAAUGCUGGAUGAGCUGAUGGGAACAUCGAGAGACGGGAGCUUUUUCUUGUGCUGUAAUCCAGUCAAAUUUGAAAGGUGAUGAAGGCCAACCUCGUGAGUUUGCAAUAGAUCUUAUUUCAUUCAUCAUGCAUAUUUCUUUAGGUUAAAUCAUAUUAUAAUGCAUAAGAAAGGUUAAUUUAUUUCUUGGAUCAAGAGGAUCAUGAUACUGUUAAAGUAAGAAAUAAACAGAAAGUUGGUUAGAAAACAUUGAACGGUAAGCAAUGUUUAGUUAAUGUUAAUGAACUAUGGAGGCCAUGAGGCUAGUUUACUUUACAGGUACAUAAUAUAGAAGAAAUUGGGGCUGGGCAUAUAAAGCAGGAUACAUCUGACAGUGGCAGUGUGUAUGUAAUGAAAUCUCUGAUGAUUCUAAAUGGCCCAUAUUUUCUUUCCUCAAACUUUGAUAGUGGUUUUUUUUCUCUCUCUUUUCGUCGAAAUCCCUCUGUUCUGUUCUAGAGAUGAAGGCAGCUGACGAAGAAGGGGCUCUUUAAAACUGUGUGUAUUAAGAUUUUACAGGUGCAGGCUUGUGAGUAUUGUUGAUCUAUUGUUGACUCUAUGUGACUAACAAUUUUAGGCGAGAACAGCAAGUACAAGGUGAAAUUUGAUGACCCUCGGGUAUGUAAGAGUUUCCUGCUGGGAUGCUGUCCACAUGAUAUUCUAUCCAGCACGGUACGUAUUUAUAUACCUACUUGAUUUUGGCUUUCCCAAUUUGUCAGACCUUUUGGUAUGUAUAUGAUUUUAAGGGGGCAGUUUUCAAAUAAAAUAUAACCAAAAGUUCUUUGAUAUAAUGAUCAGAAAUGUUUAUCUAUUAAUUUAGUAACAUAUCUUAAAAUUUAAUUUCAAAUAAGCCUAUUGCUUUUUGUGAUUAUUUGAGGUCUUGAAUAUUUGAAAUCUAAAUCCCAAGUUGUGUUCAAAGGUAAGUACAAAUAAGUUGAGACUUGAUGAGCAUGCGAGUCCAAAAGCCAUGUAAGUUGCUACCCACUCCUGUAUGCAUUUAAUUGUUUAAAGUAUAUUUUGAAUUGCCAUGUUUUGUUUUAAAGUAAGUUCAUGGUAAUGUCUGUAUCACUGUUUUAUGAUAAACUGUCCUAUUAAACAGAGGAUGGAUCUAGGAGAGUGCCCUAAAAUACAUGACUUGGCAUUGCGUGCAGACUACGAACAGGCUUCUAAGAGGAAAGAUUACUACUAUGACAUAGACGCAAUGGAGCAUUUGUCCAGCUUUAUAGCAGAUUGUGACAGAAAAACAGAAUUGGCGAAGCGUCGCCUCAAAGAAACGCAAGAAGAGUUGAGUGAAGAGGCUAAUGGAAAAGCAGAGAUGAUUCACAAGCUUGGAGAGGAAAUGGGAACAAAACUUGCCAAAGCAGAGGAUCUUGGAGCAGAAGGGCUAGUGGUGGAAUCAUUGCAGCUCAUGGAAGAAGUGGAGAACCUGAAGAAGCAAAAGGCUGCAGCUGAGCAGGAGUAUAGAAAUUCGAUGCCAGCAUCCAGUUACCAACAACAAAAGUUGCGAGUUUGUGAAGUUUGCUCAGCUUAUCUUGGAAUACAUGACAAUGAUCGUCGUCUUGCUGAUCAUUUUGGAGGAAAACUUCAUCUUGGCUUCAUUACAAUCAGAGAAAAACUGGAGGAACUAAAGGUUUAUUAGAUAUUUGCACUUUCAUUAUAAAACAUGUUAGGUUCUAUUUAAAAGAUUUAUAGAGGUAAAUUUAACGAAUGGUUUCUGUUUGCUUAUGAUAAUUAGAAAAGUAUUGCUGAUAGAAGAAUGCAAAGAGAAAAGGAAAGAGAGGAACAGAAGCUUAAGCGUGCAGAAAGAGAAAAAGCAGAGGAGGAGGCUAGAGUAAGUCAAGCACGUAGUAGGAGCCGCAGUCGAAAAAGAACUAGGAGUCGCAGCAGAGAUAGAAAGCGAAGAUCUCGCAGCAGAAGCAGAAGAUCCAGAUCUAGAUCCCGAAAUCGUCAUGCUAGAAAGAGAUCAAAAAGAUCCAGAUCUCGAUCACGAAACAGAAGAUCCACAUCAAGGUCAAGGAGAAGAUCUAGGCGCUCCAGAAGUAGAUCUAGGAGCAGAUCUCGGAAAUCGAGAAGUCGUUCUCGCCAUAAAAGGAGACAUCGUUCAAGGUCCAGAUCACACAGCAAAAGAAGUCAAAGCAAAGAAAGGAAGGAAAAAUGGCUCACGGUCCUCAUCAGAGGAAAAGACAGUUCGCUCCUCUGCAGAGAAAUCGGAGUGAAUAGGUUGAAGUAGGUGUCAUCCACUUAGCAGAUAACCAUAUCGGAAAGAACGUUUUAUUGACAAAGUUUUAACUAAUUUUUGUAUACCAUGGAUGAAUGAACCAAAUACUGAUGUCAUUUUUCAAUUUUGAAUUGAAAAAAUUAAAAUAAAGCAUACUAUG